GAUGAUGAUGACGACGGUAACUACGAUGGUAUAUAUUUAAAUAGAAUUUUUAAGUCGAUGUGUCGCGCGCGUUCAUCCCCUCGGAUAUCAGACAAAGACGACCGUCGAGAGACGAUAAGCGGCGAGGUCGGUCGUAUGCCAAAGAUUGUCCCCGUAGUACGUCGAACCUCGAGGAAGAAAAAGAAAUCAUAAUCGCGCAGCCGAAGGAGAACUUAUCGCCGGCGAACCUUUCAACCAGCGUCUUCUCGUACGUUUGUAAAACUAUUUUCUAUCGUGCUGUCGAUUUUUGAUAUUCGCGACCAUGAUUUCAACGCUUAUUAUUAGGAAGAGGAUAGAGAGAGAGAGACGAUCGGGGCGCGGGAACACGUGGAAAACGGAAAAGAAGAAAUAAAAAACAGAGCAGAACAAACGAUUACGUUAAUUUUUUACAGGAAGAGAGUCACGUUACGUCGAUCGAAUAUAAAUAUAUACACACAUAUAUGUGUGUGUGUGUGUGUGAGUGUGUGUGCGAGUGUGUAUGUAGAGGAAAAAGUCUCUUUUUAUUUUCUUUCUUUUCUCCAAGUACGAUGUUCAGAUAUAUAAGGAAUAAUUCAGCGGUAACGGUCUGAGGCAAAAGGACGCCCGCAAAACGUCGAAUUCGAAUUUCUCACCGCGUGUUAAUAUCGCCGGAUAAUAAUAAUGAUAAUCGCACGUGUUCGCUUCGUGCGAUAAGAAAAAAAGAAGAAGGUGUAAGAGAACGAAAAUCGUAUACGAUCCUCUUGCCUCCGAUGUGCCCCGAUUAUUCGUUAAGUGUUAGACGAAUUGAGACGCUUGAGAAAUAUAAUUUAUCUUACUAAACGUAUUCUGCUUUAUCAUUUCUCUCCAGAGCCGCGCGAUUCGUGAGCGAGAGCCGUUCCUCUUCGCUUCUACAUUUUCUACAUUUUCUCUUCUCUUUCCGUUCCUUUGACUUUCAAUUUCAAUGACAUCGGGACUCUCGGACACGGCGGACACGCAUCGUCCCCGGAAAUCAAAAUCCCGGAUUCCGGCAACCGGGACGAUUUCCCACCGAAAAGUCGUCUUACCGAAAUUCGAACGCCGAGACCAUUUUCCCGAAAAAUCGGAAAUAUACAAAUAUUUUUUCAGAAAGAAAAAACAAUUCAUUGCAUUUUAUAAAUGCAUCAAUGCAAAAAACGUUAAGAUGAUGUUAUCGAAAAAUGAAUAUUUUAUGAGAUACAUUUUUACGGGACGAUGCGUGUCCGCCUCGGAUGCGCCGCUCGGGAACGCGCGACGAUCCGCGAGCCCUGUUUUCGCUUUUCGCCGAUAUCUGUUUCACGGCAGGAGGCACGCGUAGCGUCGAGCGAUUCGUCGAGAGAGAGAGAGAGAGAGAGAGAGAGACUUUUCGAUCAGUCUCGAGAUUUGCGCGGGACGAACCGGUAACGAGCGAAGGGCGCGACAGGUGAUCUCGAUCGGCAAAGGACGAUGAAAACGGGCAUUCACGGGGCAUCUGUCACACGGAGGCAAGGUACAAAUGUUGGCUGCGCUUUCCGUCGGCGUACUUACUGAAUAAGUCACGUUAAAGGUCGCAGAUCAGGUCAAGUUGGGUCAAGCUGCGCGGACCAGGCGAGAUCUGUGCCCGCCACUUCGAACGGCUCGAAAGCGGUGCGCGCGUCAAGACCGGGACUCUCGACUAAUCCGAUUAAUCCCGAACGAUUGGAAUGUCCGAAUGGAUAAAUAUAAAAUAUUUCGAAUUAAUCAUUUUUAGUUCUAAUUAAUAUUAAAUAUUUUAAUUAAAUUUAGUAUUCACUUGAAAUAAAUAUUUCUAAUGAAUUUCUAAUUUCUAAUUGAUUAUUGCACUCGAGAGAAUAUCCCAAGCUGGACGUUUUAUUUCAGCCUUUCGAAUUUUAAUUUUCUCUCAGUUUACGUUUUUCACACAUAUAUAUAUAUAUAUAUAUAUAGGUGUAUAUACGCCCACGACACUCGAAAGAUUAAAUAAUUCUCGAAUAGGUACUUCCUUAAGCCUCGACAUGAAAGCAUACGACAGUAAAUAACUAUGUGUAGCGUCAAGGUAAGACAAUGGCUUGCAUAGUACUAUAUCUAGAUUUAGAUUAGACUUUCCAAUGAAAAUCCCCUUAAAUUCGGCUGAUAUUCUAGGAAUAUUACACGUUUAUGGGGCAUUUGAACCAUAUAUAACAUGUCAGAUUUGUAUUCGCAAUUUAAGCUCAUGUUCUUAAUCUUAAACUUAAAUCCAAGUAUCUUACAUGAGAAAAGCCUGAGGAGAGGCGACUGGCUAUUAAUACAAUGCCUAAAUUCACCGGAGGGAGAGAAUCGAUCGCCGCAAUGAAAACUGCAACUCGCGGGUUAUACCUACGUCUCCGGUGUGUCCAUUGAUCGCGGCUACUUUGACAGCUUGACAUGUACUGUCUCACACGACGACGGCAGCGCACAUUAUGUUGCGAACCUGCCGGCAGAUCGAUAGCGGCGCGUCGCGUGUCUACGGGCGAUCGCGUGCGGAACAGGAUGACGUAGUGUCAAAACGGCACGAAUGACCGGGCCUAAUUCUCUCCCGUUUUAAGAACCGUUCGAUUCACUGCAUCUCUCGAAACCACACGGAGAAAGGAACUUUUUCCAGACAGCAAAUCGUUUGUUGUCGUAGUGACAGCGAGAAAGAUUUGUUUCGAUAGCAGAAAUAUUUGUUAGGAGUAUUAAUUGCCGUUUGCUGGAUUACAUGGAUGUAGCAAAAUAAUUUGGUUACGCCAACUAAAUUUUACUGCUGUCGCAACAAUAGUAAAGUUAUUUGUUCCAUGCGACGUAUUUUUUUUAGGAAAAAACCAUUUAGGAAAAAAAUGCAAGAAACCGCUCGAAAAGAGAAGUCUCGUAUGCAUCUUUCCGUUCGGAUCCGAGUGUGAUAAUAUAAUCGCCGUGGAAACCGACAGAUCGACAAAGGCUUUUUCUAAUUUCUGACUUGAAAAAUUGGAAAAUGCGACAUGUAUCUCAAGCAGAAUUUCGUGUCGAUUACGUAUUCGUUUGACGAAAAUACCGCGGCGCAGGAAGGAAACGACGUGACCGAAGUCGCCUCAUGAUCUCUCGGUGAACCGCUGUUUCGCGCGGAAAUGCGGCCUUCUUUCGCGGAAAUACUCGCCGCAGUUUCCGUCGAUAAAAUAACGGGUCGACCUACAUCAAGCGAGAGCUUCACGAAAAUUUGUCUCGGACAACUAAAUUAAAUGUUAAAUUUUUAACUUUCCGUAUGCGGGGAAUUUUAUUCUCACCUCUUCUCGCGUUAUACACUUAAAGAAAGCUGUUCGUAGCUGUUUGUAGUGCUUCGUAGUCAAGCCGUUCAAACUUACAAUUUAAACAAAUCUGUUCAAGAACUAACUUCGCCAUAGACAAAAGAAAAUAGACAACACGCUGUCGUUUGUAAAAUUUCAAAAACAAUACUAGUGACAGGACAAACUGAUGUUUUUGCUUGUCGCACCUCCCUCUUCCCCCCUAUAACCCCGUGGAGAAAAGUGAAAUGUCGUACUUACCUUGACACGCUUCCGCUCCUCGAGCUCGUUUCGCAUUUCGUGCGACUAAUUAGCGGACUCGAAUUAGCGAAUCGUCGCAUUCGUGUACGCAAACACCAAACGCCUUAGUUUUACACCACUUUAUACAAAUUUAUUACUUUCUUAAACAGUUUCGUUUUUUUGUUCGGUUUUCUGUCUUCUCGAUCGUCGUGAUCGUCGUAAUCGCGAUCAUCGCCGCCGACCGAUGGUAUGCAAAAGAACCUUAAGAGGAAGUAUAUGUAUUAUUUCGGCUUUACAAAAGUUACAUCUAAUUGUCCGGCGCGCAUGUAGCCCCCUUUCUCUCUUUCUCUCUCUUUCGUUAAUCCUCUCCUUCCUUCUCUCUCUCUUUCUCAUUCCGACAUGUGUGCAUAACGUAUUCCUUCUUCCUGCGUCUCCCUUUCCGCGACCCUGCCAAUAUCCUUUCCGCCGGCGAAAACCGAUCAGUUUUCGGCCCUCGCCGAAAGCGCGGGGUGCACUUCUCGCAUUCUCGAGACGCGGAAAGAUACGCGAGAAUAAGCACGCGCUCGUCCAUCGAGAAACCAAGACCACGUCCUUCCUCCUCAGGGAUAACUCGUGAUAAGAGAUCGUGGGGGGAAUCGAUCGUUUCCUGAUUCGACGAGCGACGAAAUCCCGAUGUUCCAAUACGCACUCUAUGAGCGAGGGACGAGCGCGUGAAGCGCACGAGGAAUCGAAGUAUCGAGAGUGUAAUGUUUCCCGGGACGAUCGAUUGAAAAAUGAAGCACACGCGGAUGGAGGUGGGAUCAGUGCACGGAGGGAAAUAAUUCGCCGGCACGACAAAUUGUAUGUUGUCGUAGUAAAAUCUGCUGGACACUGCGAUAAAUUAGUAAAUUAAUUAAAAAAAAAACAUUUCGUUCUAACAGCGAAUCAACGUGUCUCCCGAGGGCAAAUUCACUCGGCAGAAUAUUUCCUACACCGACAAACGAAGAAACUGUUUCCGUCCCAACUGCGAACAAUCCGUUAAUUUGUUUAUAAAACCGAGCGGAAAUUUUCGCAACGCGAAUAUGCGGUGGCAACCGGACGUUCUCGCUCACAGCAGCAGAAUUAUUUUUCUCCGUACACUUGCUGCUCGCAGAUUGAUCGCGCGGCCGCGCAUUCUGGAACGGCGGCUUCGUUUUAUCGUUCGAUAAUGAUUCUCGUUGAUCGCCGUCGGAGCGAUUGUUACAUCAGCGAUUGUCACACACGGUCCUCGCAUUCCUCGAGUUUUAUUUUCGUAUCUACCUCUCGACCGUUAUACUUCACUCGAGCGGGUCCGAUAAUCUUUCCCUCCCCCCUCCAGCUUUACACGUGAGGCAUACGUGAACCAUGUGCCGUAAUACCGACGAGCGCCGAUUUCGCCGACAUUUGGCCUCAAACUUUUAACGGGCGGUACAACCUCGCGCGCGCACCUUCACUUCGCUCCCCGCAAAAACGAUCCCGGGCGCUAGUCAGGGCGUUUAACAAAUCGCAACAGCAAGCCAAGCGCGGUUCCAGACGCUGGCGAGCGAAUUGGAGAGCACGGAGAAAACCAAUUUUGCCAGAACAGCAAACGCUUGUCAAUAUAGUGACAGCAAGAAAAAAUUUUCUUAGCAAAGAAUUUCUUUCAGACAGCAGAGAGAUUUGUUAAGAUGAUUAAUUGUCCACAUAUAUGUAUCCAACAAAUAGCAAUUUGGGCUUCCGAAUCUGUUGGACGAAUAAAAGUGAGACGAAUCUUACGUCUCCUCUUUGACUCCCGUUAGCAGGAGGAGACAAAGACCGCCGAUUAAAGUCGAGCAACGCCGGCGGAGGCGCCGAGAGGGAAAGAACGCACGGUUCUCGCGCGCGUAUUCCCCGCUCUCUUUCUCACAUUCUCGUCCUGCGACGAGCAGACGCGGAAACGGAGUCGCGGAAGAGCGAGAACGAGAUACGAGUGCCUGGACGACGAGUGUGUGUGCCACUAGGAGUCAUCACUUUUGCUUCUGAGAUGCAGUUUUUUUUUCUUCCUUUUUUAUUACAAUUAUUACUUCAAUGUUUAUUCCUUCCUUUGUUAUCAAUAAAAAUCGUUACAUAGUAGUUUGGGCCGCUGCUUGGCGUCAGACGAAUCGACAAGCAACCAGUUAUAGUAAUAGUAGCGGUAGUAGUAAUAGUAGUAGUAAUAAUUGGUAGCGGUAGUCGUGUACAUGUUCGUGUGUGUGUGUAUGUAUUACGUUAUGUGACACGUGUGGCCGCCCGUGCAUCGAUAAACGCGCGCAGGUGAGACGCGAAAGUCAAUCUUCAGAUACACGGCAGGAAUUCGUCGCAGGUGCAGCAGCAGCAGCCGGCCACGUGGGCCUCAUCAUCCUCAGCACGUCUCUCUCGCGCGCGCAUCGACGAGGAUUCCCCGUUGUGUUCCGGAAAUCGUCGGACCGCGCAUGCGCGAUCAUCGACCGUCUUUCUCUCUCUCUCUCUCCUUCUUUCUCUCGCUCGCCGGCGAAUUUCCACGCGUCGUGCGUAUCGCGUUUCUCCCUAUUGUCCGAGACGCAGACGUAGACCGCAAAGGGAACGGCUGAGAAGCGUCAACGAAGAAGCCACAACGACGAGCCGGCGGGCGACAAAGCGGAUGCAGAAGAGAACACGAAUAUCCCGAACGAUAAAGACGACAUACCGAGAUAGCCAAGAGAGCGUCAUCGCCGAUGCCGAUAGGACGACGAUGACGUUGGCGGGGGGUGAGAAGAGAUAAGGACACGCGAAACAGGAAGGAAAAGGGAGUGAUAGAGGAGGGGAAGGGAGAUAAAGGAAAACGAUUAGAGCGAUUAGAGCUCGGCGGCUCGUCGUCUCGCCCGAAAACCCGUGUCGGAUAUCGCGUCACGUGGAAAUCGUUAGCUUCGAAGCCGCCCGAGGAACUUUCUUUCGCUGAUAUUCCCGCGGAGGAGGGAAGGGUGGAAGGGGCGUUCCUGGUGUCUUCUCCUGCGACCAACAACCGUCGUGGAUCGAUGGGGGGGAAAAACAAUCAUACCGAGAGAAGCGUCUUCUUUUUUCUUCCCUUUCAUUUUUACGUUAUACGUGAUUAUAUCGAUAGUCGUAUAAAAGGAGAACGACGACAAAUACGACGCGCGAAAUGCGCGUAAAAUCGAUCCGGUCGGGGGAGAAAUCGCAGAGAAUCGAAGAUGCCGGAUGAAAUCGGAAACGCGGCUCUCCUGACGUACGUCCUGAUGUGCGCCGCAGGCUGAAACUUAAACGGCUAUCGCUCAAAAGUGCGAACCAAUGCGAGAGGGAAAAGCGAUCGAUACGAAAUGUGCGAAAUUUUAUUUUUACACUGCCAUUCGCGCCUUUUUUUUUUUCACAGGGUUGAGGCGAGUCUUUCGCGAGGGGAUCCCCACUGCUGU